GGAAAAAUCGCGUUUCUACUAUCGCGGAGGCUGAAAUCACGCGCAAAAGUCGACGCGUGCUCCCGAGAUACUCGAGUUUCCGACGCAGGUCGGUGUUAACGCGUUAAAUUUCUAUGCAAUCGCGCUAUCGAGCGUUACUAGCUAAUAACGCCAUAUUGGGCAUAUCUUUUCGAUUGCCCGAAUUAUUUCGCGUGUCGGAAACGCAACUUGGCGAUGGAAUUCGCUCGUUUUCAAUCGGUGUAUCGAUUGUGUCGUGAUAUUUCGAUUUGCGGUUGUCGGCACGCACCGCGCACGCACGGGAGCAAUAUUUACAUCUCGCAUCGCUCGCGAGUGGCCGAUUCGGCGUAAAGGCGCCCAUGCGCUUUUUAAUGCGCUCAUUAAUCGCGCGCGUAAAAGCAAUCGAGCGUCGCGUCAUCGAGUGAACUGUGCCGCAUCAACUGCCGGCAGCAAUCGGUCGAGCACGCCGACGAUCCGCAGCUUCGUUCGGUUGUACGACGCAGCGUCCAGUGGAUGUGGCGAAGUCAUUUGAUUGUUCGAAGUCAGAAGAAAAGCUGAGAAGCAGAGAAAAUGCGGCGUAAUUUUGGAAGCUGAAUCUGCGUUCUGGAAAACGUCGGAGACGGACGGCGCAUGCGCAGCGACCGGUGAGUCGAUCCAUUUGUUACUUUUGCGUUUAAUUAUUGUUGAUUGAAUGAUUGAUGCAUCGAUUGUCGCCACUGAUCGCAUUGCAUGAACGUUGUAAUCAAGUAUAAUUAUAAAUUUUCUAUAAUAUUAAAUAAUUUUGAAAAACACAUAGUACAUCAAUAUUCUGAUAUUUCCUGAAUGCUAUUUGACUAGAUAUAUCAUACUACAAUCUCUAAAAGCAUGAAGCAUCGAUCCAACAUACACUGCGCUCAAUACAAAAUUCUUUCGUCUUCCGCGGAAUAUUCUCCGCAAAAGCUUUCACAUAGUAAAACUUGCCGCACAGAUAGCAAGAACUAAAAGCUACGACGCUGCAAUUCGCGAUGUGCGAAAUUAACGAGGAGCAGAAGCGAGACCGCGUCGUUACAGUGUGGAUCGUGAAAUCGAUGGAGUCGACGAGAAUGCAUGGCGGAGAAACGGAAAAAUCGCAAGGUCUGCGAUUACUGAUGCAAAAUCAAGAUAACCUUUUUCCGAUUUCAAUUCCGGUCGCGUUAUAGAAAGACGAAACUUUCCUAAUUUCGAAUUCGCGAAUACGGCGCAGCCGCUGUUUAUUGAAAUGCGUCGAGCCAUUUGCACACAUUCAUGGUGGCGCUCAUUCCAGGCUUUUGCAUAAUCGACUGAAAAGAUAAAAGAUUAUGGAGAAUAAUACGAAAUGAUAUGCCUCUUAUAUGCCUAAAGCUAUUUGUAUCAUGUUUUAUUAAUAAUGGCCGUUAUUUCAGGCGCGAUUUCCCUUUAUUCGAUAAACGAAAUAAACGCAAAGAGGAUCUCGCGAUAAUCUGCGAUGUGGCGGGAAAAAGGGGAGGAGAGGGAAGGAAAGGGAUGGAGAGGAAGAGGAAGCGGGCUGCGUUUAAUACAUUUUUUUCGUACGUGCGUAUUUAACUGGGCCAUUCAUUACGAAUGGCUGGAUUUAAUCUGGCGCACUCUCGCCGAGAGGGACAAGGAGAGAGGAGAGCGAUCCUCCUCAUCCGAGGUCCGCCACGCCGAUAAUAAAUGUCCGCGGUAUAACGUACGCAUUGUUGCGAUAACGCGCGUGAUCGGAAGUGGAAGCACGUUCCAGCAUAUUCGCGCAGGCACUGUGCCGAUAAUAAUACUUCUUUGCAACGAGUUCCGCCAACCAGAGGAAACGGGAUGGCGGCCCCCCGCAGCCGGAGGAAAAGUUUCCCCAUAAAUCUGCGAUUCUAAGGCCAUUGUCCAUUCAGGGCCGUACACAUCGUCUGCCUCUGGACACACGGUAUCGCGGAGCAGCCUUUAUGCCCGAUGAAAUAUACCGCUGCCGAAAAGAUAGCAGACGAAGUAACCGGUCGAAGUUUCUAAAAUUCCCAUUCUCAUGAAGCAAGUGUUUUUUGAGACACUGCGCUUUUCUGCUUACGAAGUCGUUAAACUGGGAAUGCGUGUUCAGGGAUUUUGAAUUUAAUAAAAUCUUGAUAAAUAUAAGUCAUAGAAUGUUGUGAGAUAUUUCUUUAAUUGAAGACUUUUGAGAAAUAAAUUUACAAAGUUUUGUUUUUCUUGCUAGCAUUUCUGUAAUGCUUAUGUAUAUGAUAUAGAAAUUUUUAGAGAGAAAGGAGAAAAAUAAAAUUUCGUGGAAAGUGUGAAGGGAAAUAUUAUAAAACGAUAUAAAGCGUAAAGAGCAGGGAAAUAUCAAAUUCUUCCUGAUAAUAAAUCCUAUUAUGAUACAUAUGGAACAAAAUGUCAGAAUUUGUCAGCGAAAGUCGGUAAACGGUAAUAAAAACGCGGGAAAGAUAAAUGCGAUUGUAUUAUUUAUUACGAAGAUCACAAAUAUAUUCCGAGGUGGAAUAUAUUCCGGAAGAUAUCAUGAAUUUGGGGAAAUUUUCAUGAAGCCGUUGGGAAGGUUUAUCUUCAGGUAUCUGACAACACCGUAUAACUCCAGUUUUCGCGAAAGACAGAUGUGAAUGGGUAAGAGAGAAAUUUGUGCAUCACUCGCGAAGCACAGACAUUUUUCCAAGGAAUUUAUGCUCCUCCAUAAUAAAAACUAUACUUUGUACUUACAUAUUUUAUAUUUUAUAUAUUAUAUUUUAUAUGUAGCUUGUGCAAAUAAUCGUCGUGUGGAAUUAACAGCGUCGCGGAUUGGUAAAUUCAGAGCUUAGCUGAAUAGCACACAAUCGGACACAAAUACCGUGUUAAAGGAUUAAGUACUCCUCUACGAUUCGCAAUCCAGUUAAUACAAAAAGUGCCGCACCUGUUCGCUUCGUUCUUUUGCCGUGGCUAAAAGCUGGGAACAUCACUCGGCGGCGGGCGAAAGCUGCGUUUUGCGGCUAGUAAAAUCGUCGAGCAGCCGUGCUGCGCGGCUCGGCCUUUAAAAAAAGAUUUUAUCUCGUUCAUUGAUGCGAACGCGAUCGGCGGAAAUGCGGCGCGCACGGCAAGGUGUGAGAAAAGUUUCGCUUUGCGUUUGGAUCGUCCAUCUGCACUCACGCUACACGGCAAUAAAACAAAACCGGCGCAUAUCGUCGGCGAUUCAUGCGGGAAAUCUGGCGUAUUGGCGAACGAGCGUAUUAGCGUGGUCAUUCGGCCGUAUCGCGAAGGAGUCGAUAGCUCCGUUAUUAAAUCCUGUCCUGCAAGUGGUCGAUAAAAUAUUCGCGCCCGAUACAGGAUAUGACAGCUCUCAACCUUCGACCGCAUAUGUGCGCGGUUAUUUUAUAUCUCGACCAAUGUGUCAGAUUGUCACCCGCACUUUCGUAAUUUUAUGCACCUACUUCUAUGUGUGUUUCGCGUUUUCCAAAUUAAUUUUCUUAUCUUUCAGAUUUGCGCUUAGCGAUUUAAUAGUUCAGCGGAUUUUCUAGUUUUUUUUUUAUUGAAGAACGUGCUAAUCUUUUUUAAUGCAUCCUGAAAAAAAAGUACAAAGGCUUUCAAUUGCAGAAUCAGAUUUUCCAGGAUUGCUAUUUUUAUUUACGUGAUUUAGUAUGCUAUUAUUCCCAACGCCUCAUUUAUAUGCAGAACGUUUACAUUGGCGAAAUAUUCGCGUGAGGGCAGAUUGCGAGGCAUUUCGACAUGGCGUGAUGUUUCGUUAUCACAGGCAGCAGGGUUCGAAGACGCGAAUCGCUUCCAUUUCCGCUACGAGUGUUACUGUGUAAAUCCCUCCUUUAUUGUGACAGACUCGACGGUGCGCGUGAUUCCAUACGCAAUGCAUUUCUGAUAGUCUGCAAGUUUGAAUUACGACGGUAAGGGAACAGGAUCAAGACCAUUGAGAUCGGAUCCGUGAUGCCCAAGUGUAACUAACCGCUUCUGCAUCUCUUGAUGCUACGACAUACCUGUCCUACUCUGUACUGAUUUUAUAUUUAUCCAUCUUUUGCAAUUUCAUGCUCUUCAUGCUCCAGAAUUUUUCUACAUUUUUUUAUUUCCCUUGCGCGCCUUCAAUCUUAUCCUUUUCAUAUUCUCAUUUUGAUCCAUGCCUGCGUUAGGUCGUUCGUAAUCAUUCAGUCAAUAUAAUAUGAUCAAUAUAAACUGAAUCGCUAUUAUUUCAUAGAAAAUUUCACUUGAGAAUCUAUGAAUAAAACGGUAUAAAAUUAUUCUCAAUGUUCUCAGCGGGAGAAAGCAAUAUUCUCGAACGAUUUCCAAAGAAAUAUUCGCUCAAGCGGUAUUCUCUUUAUACAUUUAUAUUUUUCUGAAUAUUAAACGCGUGCAAACGUUAUCGUUAGAUAUAGGUUACCAAAGAGAAACCAAAUUAAAAAGCAAAAGAGAAACAAACGUUUUAAAAAUUCAAUAUAAGAAAUAAAAGAGAAAUCGAUGCGAAUAACGGUUUCCUAUGAAAAUGCAUGGUUUCCAGGAUAUUUGCUGAAUAUAGAAUAUUUUUGUAAGAUGGAAAAAUUUUUGAAUCCUUGAGAAAAGAAUCCCAACAAGUUCUCCAAGUGCCAUUCCGUUUUAUUCAAUUCAUUCGUAAUAUGCGUGACAAGAGAAACUAAUAGACGGUCAGAAGUAGCAAACUACGAAGUAAGCAAAUAAUUCAGGACGCCUUGAAGGCCAAAGUAAUAACUUCAGAUUUAAUGACGAAUCGUUAAUUUUCAAAAAGCGCAAUAUUAUUAAAUAAAGAAACUACAACAACUCGAGGUAUGCGACUAAUGUCGUUCGUCAGGGUUCCCUGCGUGCUCGCAGUUUCGGGCACCUUUGUGCGAGAUGUCGCGAACAAUAAGUACGCCGAGCGGCUGCUUGAAAACUGUAACUGAGUUAAGAGAAACUCCUUAACUGAAUUCCACGGUUAAAUACCGACUUUCGUCUUAACCCUCGACCACGGUGUUCCUAAUUAAAUUAAAAUUUCCGCGAAAGUCCAACGUGGUUAUGGCGCCGCAACGGAGUUUAUCGCUCGACGUGGCGCGCCGACAUUCGCCAUCUGCUGUUGGAAAUCUUUUGACUGUGCUAGCCAACUGGCGUGCUUCAUAAAUCCGUCUUGUAUUUUUUUUAGCAUCAUACGGAGUAUGUGACGCAGUGAUUUCGAGGUGCGGAAAAAUUACGCAAGGCACGCGCGUCACGGAAAAACCCGCGGAGAAAUUCGCAAUUAUUAUUUAUCCGCUGCUACUGUUGCAACUAAAUAUUGCCGAAUAAACGAGAGUUUCUUGUAAAUGGGACGAUGAUAAUGCGCUAUCAAGACGAUUUCAUCUCGGAAACGUAUCGGACCGGCUUAUUACCGAUCCUAAACCGGUCGUUACGCUAUAACGAAUGAGACUCUUCUGCUCGCGACGUAGGUUUAUCCUGAUAGAUACUUGGUGGAAGAAGCGUGAGAUUUUUCGAACAGCGACAGUGGGUUGGGAGUCCAGGGAAAAGGGAAAAUGGUUGAAGGGUAGUAGAUUCGCAGGAGGAAUCAAUGGCCGAUGCGGGUCACGUAGGGUGCUACAGGAUUCAGUUGGUGACACGGUAGGCUUGGUGAACGAUAAAGUUAUACUUUCAGAAUAAUGGAGUCAUCCUUAGGACCGUAAAGGAAGUACGCAAUUCCGCAAAUCGCUACGAGCGCAAUGGAUUCCGUUCCAUCUUGUGGCCGGCAUUACAUUAAAAUAAAACAAACGGAUGGAUCAAUGUAUCCUCCUAGUUCAUAGAGGUCCGAGAUAGUAAAUGGAAGGAAUACAGCAGGAGUGCUGUGGAAGAGCCCACGAGAAGAAUUAUUAAUGAGCAACGAUGUAUAUCGAGAUGGCCACUGCGUGCACUUAUUAGAUUGAAGUGUACCAUCUAUCUCCUUAGUACUCGUUAUUUUCCAAGAGACGUUUCUUUGUGGCGUCUUGGCAGACCAUCCAUUAUGUCAAAUGUGAAACAAUCAAUAUUCAUUCGGACCACCGCCAUUUAUAAUACAAAUCAAACGAACCAUUUUUCCAGCGGAUGAUGUACUUGUCUGCCUCGCCUCCAAUCGAUCAAGCUUUCAUGUUUAGUUUUUCUAUUCGUACGUUCCUAUUUAUCUCUAUCUUGAUCUAGCAUUAUUAUGUCUUGCUUAUCUAUACUAUAUUUACUAAAUAAUCCGGAUCGCGUCUAGAUAGAUGAAUCAAACUAAACACAUAUUUACGACAGCAUAAUAUAGCUUGUUGUAUAUUAAUUUUAGAGCAGAGUUGACAAAAAGCAAAAAACAAAAUUCUCUAAAACAUCAUUACAAUAUCUAUAUUGUCUAGACGUGACUUGGAUUACUUAGUUAAUUAUCUAAUUAAGUAGUAUUGUUCAUAUUUGUACUUUUCCUUUCAAUGUUUCUGAUUGAAUUAUUUCUAUUAAUAAUCUCCAUUUAUUCCUCGCAAUUGAGUUGUAUUUUAAUUGUACCUAUAUUGGCAAUCAUCAAUUAAUAAAUGGUAAAUAUUACGAACUGAUAAAUACCAUGAAUAAAAUUGCGUGAAGUUUAUUUGAUGAUAACCGUUACAUCUUCGAUAGCUGAACAAUGCAAUAUUGAAAGCCGAUCUUUAAUGUCGCUCGGAAACUUCGUACUUUCACAGAUAUCGAUUUUUUCACAAGAAGUAUUUAAAUGCCUUUUACAGUUCGUUACAUCUCCUAAAAGAGGAUUAUCGUCCGCUUUUGUAAAUUAUUUCCGCGAUCUGUUGCAAUUAAUUUUGAUUUGAUUAUCGAGAAAACAACGGAAAAUAAGCGCAGAAGGGAGUUAGACAAAGGAUGCGAACGACGGGAGGAGGUCCAAGAGUCAUUGCACGGCUACCAUGGAGAAAAACAAUUUUACUUUUCCUAUUAGUAAACUCUUCAAGAGGUACAAAGCCCGCGAGCAGUCCCAAGUAAAGCGAUGAAGAAAGCGCGCCGACGCGAGCAAGAAAAAAGAAAGCGCAAGUACACAGGAGGUUGCGAGUAGGUGUAAAGCGGGGUUGAAAAAGCGACGGCGUUGGAGGGGAAGACAAAUUUUAUUACCGCAUUUGUAAGCAGGGCGUAUCGCUCUUGCGAAUUCGCCCAAUAAUACGGAACGAUUUGUUUUUCGACGCCGUGAGUAGCGUCUAAGGAAGGCAGCGGAGUGCAGCGUGAGAAAUAGAAUGCAUAUCGAUCAAGCGGAAUGAGCGUCUUUGGGAAGAGAACAUGGGUCCGCGCGGUGUUAACUUGUACGAACGAUUAAUCUUGUCGCACGCUGCCGCGACAUCGAUAUGCAUCAGGCAGAGAAUUUAUAUCAAACAGGCCCGCGCGCACAGACUGGAUAUCUCUGAUCAAACGCACUUGUAUUUAAUCACCAUCUGCAUGGAUGGUCAAGGGAAUUAUAACGUUGCGCGCAAUUCCACUUGACGCCGGUAUCAGAUAUUUAAUGAGAAAUAAUAUAUGCAGCUCAAAUAGAAUUUUUGAGAAACUUUUAUUUAAUUCCAAUCUAAACAAACUUUGUCACGGAGAAUUCGCGAAUGCAAAAUAUUCAAGUGUGUGUAUAUCGCAUAUAAAAUAGAUAAGCUAUAUCAAUAAAAUAUACAUUGGAAGAAGAUAAUGAUUAGUAGCAUUUUGAAGGAAGUCAAUAAAAUUUAUUCUGACUGACGCACUGACUCUUAACACGACGUUAUUAAUACGAAAAGACACACGUUUCGCUUUAUUACUUAUUAUUGCGCACUGCAGCUGUGCUCCACUGAGCAUGUUUGUUUCACCAACUAUUUGUCCUCCGUGUUACGUCAGGAAUGGAGUGUAAAGUUGCAGACGUUUGGCGCAUACAAAUGCAGCAGCGUAUUUUCCACGAAUGCGCCCAUAACACGUCCUCGACACACGCUGCACUUGAUGUUUCCACGGAAUAACGAAAGUGCGCGCAUUUCACCGAUGCGUCUCGUGCACAUCGUCGAGUACUCGUUUCAUCGCCGAUUUCGCGCACACCAAUGAAACAGCAUUGCAGCCUCCUGAAGGUCUGCCCUCACGCGUCCUCUCUCGAGCACCACGAUUUUCGGCGAUCUCCCGGAACCCCGGAAGCUCCGGGUCCCUUAUCCCGUCGUGAUGUAUACCGCGAUCCGUGAAAGUUUCAUGCACCAUUGGGCGAGAACGGAGGAGUGCGGGGAAAAACGAUGAGCGCGUAUUUGUUUCCGGGCCCGGGCGAGAGACGUGAAUUAUUUGGUCGAGGUUGUAGGUCGUUGAGUUAGGUCGUGAGUAGGAUUUUCUCCAUCUUUUCGAGGCAUUGUCCCCGGUGUGAGGGGUGCAUCUGCAGUGCAAUCACAUUAGGUGCAUCCCUUCGCUUGGACCGCGAGCGCGAGCCGAGCGUUCGCUCCUUUUCCCACGUGUCUACCCUCGGAGCACGUGUCGAUUGCGAAAGACAGCGGGGUAUCCAUUUUCUGCAGGCCGCAACAUCCGCGGUGAGACUCUUUCGUCCCGAGGAACGAAACGAAAUGAAACGAAACGAAACCGCCAGUCGUAGCCGUGACAAUACGGUACACUUCGACAAGGACGACGUCGUAAAAGCGCACAAUGGGACGGCUGAUUGGCUACUCGAACGGAAAUACGCGCUUGGAAAAACGUCCCCGGGAAAAUGAUAAGACCAUAUCGGUCGCGUAAUGCCGCCCGAGACGGGAAGAUUUGCGCCGGAGAUAUUGUUAUCGCGACGGCUAUGAUGGGACGACCGUCGCGAUGCAGGGGGUGAAAGAAAACGCACCCCGCCGUCUUCUCGUUUCCAUUUUAAAUCUUAACUAGAGACACCUAUCUGUAUCUCCUGAAUAUUUCAAUGCGCUCCUGCACAUUGUAAAUUUUAAUUCAUUUCAUCGAUCUGCUGUUGACAAAUUCUCUCUAUCUUUUUCUCUUUUAAUACACGCUAUAACUUGCGAUUUAAAUAAAAGUUGUACAUUUGUUUAAUUAAAUUAAAAAACAUUUGUUUAAUUAAAGUUGUCAUUCGUUCGAUUGAUUAUUUGCGUAUUUACGCGCUUCGUAUUUUUGCGCUAUAAUUUACGUUAUACGUGCGCGAGCAAGCUGAAAGAAGCGAAAAUACACAAGAACAAUAUAUCAUUAAUCGCAACAGUUGAAAGAAGAACAGUUACACAAUAUGUAAUCGCGAAUGGUCUACACUUCUCGAUGUGCAAUUACAUGAAGUGCGAAGGAAGUCACGAAGAGUUUCGACGGAAAAGAGUACCUUCCGUAUUCCGGAACUCCUUCGUUUCGAUCCUUUUCGAGAAUGCUCUCCUCGUUACGUGCGAAAGGUACCUCUCGAAAGGGUAAGAGAGCCAGUGCCGUCAGCAUUUUCAGACACUCAGACUCCGUUACUCGAGUAAGGUUUCUCUUCUCGUGCGCGUGUCCCCCUAUUUUUCUCCGUCUCGCACCGUCGUACCGCCUCAUUGCGAUCAGCUUCACUACCACCUUCGUGAUCACGGUGGGAGGGCAAACAACCCAUGAUGGUGAUUGCGUUCUCCGCAUAGAAGUGAUAUGCCCUUAACUAUGUAUUUAGUGCGAAAAGGUCGCUAAAUAUCGCUUGGAUUUUCUGGACAUUCUUCCUCGAUUCUGUUAUUUGUAUAAUUCAUUGUAUAGAUUGAUUUCGGAUGUUAUUGCACAACAAAAGAAUAAGAAUCUAACGAACUAUUGAAUAAUUACAGCUCCAUCAAAAUAACUGUUACUUUUAAAGAGCUUAUUACAAUUUGUAGUCAAGAGAAUUAACUCUCAAGAAAAAUAAAUGGUUUUUUACUAGAAAAGCCGAAAAAAGAAAUAUAUUACCUACCAGAGAGAAGAGAGAAGAGUGCACUUCCGGAUCAAUGUGUAAAUAUAUUGUGUAGAGAGUGAAGCGGAAACAGUAUUGCACAUUUGGCAGCAGGGAUUUAUCGCUUGAGAGAUUUGCCGAUUAUAAAAUUGCUUCAUUCAAAAAAAGAAAGAAAAAAGAAAUAAAACGAGGCAUAUCUACCCGUUAUAUUUCCCAACGAUCCACUCAAGACUUCAUGGCGAAAUGAGGGUUUCUGCAGGAACUGCAAUCCCCUCUCUUUCUCGUUAAACGCGCUUCCAUCCAAAGUCGGUUUAAAUAAUUUAGCGUUCAUUCCCCUUGAAUGAAGUUCGAUCAAGUUGCGAGCUGUAAAGCUCUUUAACGCUCCGAAGUUCCACUCCCCAUAUAUCCGUCAUCACCAUGGAAAGUCGACGCGUCAUGACGGCCGCCGUGGGCCCCCGAUCGAUUCUUUUAAUGCACUUUGUCCGACUUAAGGAGCAACGUCCCUUCCGCCAAUCGCGCGUCGAACGCUGCAUUAAAGUCGUAUUAAACGAGCCGAGUUUUCGUCACGCGUAAUAAAAUUGCACCACGCUCAUCCGGUAGCUGCGAAAUUCUUUGUGACUUAAUUAAAGUUCCACCGAACGCGCGCGCGAUCGUUCCACCGGGAACAGUUCACAAUGAGUCCUCGUCGUUGCCUUCAUUAUUUCCUUCGACGACUGGCCUUUGUGAGCGAAAUAAAGCUCGAUCUGCUUCCCUUUGCCAACCGCGUACUAUCAUCAAGGCUCGCGUCUCGUGGAAUGCCGUGACGCAAAAGGCUCUCCGUCGUGGCGUCACUAGCCAGCUAGAAGGGGGCUAAUGGGUUGACGAAGUUUUCAUUAAUGUCGUAGAUCGUAUCGUGAGAAACACGGGGUUUAGUGGCGAGGAAAGUUCACGCCAGCGUCUCACACACCAGCCACCAGCGUGCGUUUCUGAUAGAAGAUUUUCCGUUACGUGAAAACGUGACCCGGGGAUGGCGGUGACUCGGGAAAGGAGGUUUGCCGUGCAUACCAAAACCGUAUUCGACGUAAUUACGACACCCUGCAUAAUUCCCAUCCUGCGAAACAAGUACGAAAAAGGGACACCUCGCGCGAUAUCGCACACGAACGCGUGCAAUCUGCAAUCCUCGCCGCGUGAUAAUGCAAAACGGCAGGACAUUACCCCUUACGACGUGUCUGGGCUGAAACGCAGCGGGUUUCUAUGCAAAUAGCGCGAUUUUCGUGCCGCGGCGAGGGAAAGAUUUUUCGCGGCAUUAUCAUAAUGCAAUUUUUCGUAACAAAGCUAACGUCUCCGUAUGCGCGCGCGCGCACCGUGAAACAAGAAGACGUUAUUCUCCAUCCGCCCUUUCCGCGAACAGCCCGCGCAAUUUGCCAGCCACGCAAAAUAUGAAGGGACACAUUGGUUCGCCUCUCUCGGGGUGUCUUAUGAAUUACAAAUUCAUUUAACGGCAUUACUCCGUCCCUUUACUCGGUAGGAUUGCGUCGCCCGCGCUCGUAAACACGGUGACACCGGGCUCGUAUAUUAUCCGUCCACCCCCUUCAGCAAACCUCCGGCACCACUGUCGUGUUGCAGUACACGAAGCCGUACCAUUUGUUCGUGCAUUUUUCCUUUCCUCUCGGCGCGCCUGGAUCGGGACGUUAAGCGCGAUCGCAAGUCGUAAAAAUCUCAUGACGCGGUGUUGCGCAGAAAACUUGUAGCCACACCUGAAACGUCAAACUUUACUCGAUGUACGUUUUUUUUCUUUUUCUUUUCUUCUUUACAUGAAUGCCUCGUUGACGCGAACGAGACAAGAACUCGACGACAAGAACCGCAAUAAAGGGCGGAAUUUGAUCGCGGCAGCGCGACCAUGCAAAAGACUAAAUAACAGACUUUGACAUCCGAAGAAAUGGAACGUGAUUUUUUCUGAUUUGAUCUAUUAAUUUACAUGUACUUCAACGAUGUUGAAAUUUCAUUCGACACGAUUUGAUCUAUUAAUUUACACGUACUUCAAUGAUGUUGAAAUUCCAUUCGACACGAUUUGAAAACGUUCAUUCGCCGUUCAGCUUCCUCGCGUUAAAAAAAGUAAACUCGCAGACAAUCGCAGACAAUCUCGAACCAGCAGAUCAAUUUCGCGGAGAACAAAACAAUAUCGGAACUUGUCUAAUAUCUCAAGUUCUCCCAGGCGCAAUAAAUCUACCCUUUCCUGCGUCUUUCGUAUUUCCUUCGUUCUAGCACAUAAACAAGCCAUUUAUUCGUUUCUUCGUUGCAGCGUGUUACAGCCUCCGCCUCGUUCGAACGAGGACGUUAAAUGAUCGCGAGUCGUAAAGCUCGGUUCCUUUGGCCGACUUUUCGCGUUUUCACCACCGUGUUUUUCCACCAGGAAAAUUUCCAUGCGCGAGCAGACGCAUGGGAAAUCGGGCGUACCGCAUUAAAUUCAUGCUGAUACUUCCGCUUUGAACGUCCGAACGCUUCGUAAUUUUGACAUGAAUAACGGUAUCGCGCUUUCAUCAUUACACUCUGAUUACUUGUAUCGCGGAACGUAAUCCUACGUACUAUGCGUAUGUUUCACGUCGAAAAUAUUACGGAAUAUGUAUGUUUAACGAAACUCACGUGAAACUGGCGUGAAAUUCGCGCUAAUGCUUCUUGUUUCACGCGUAUUAAUUUACAUGAGCUUACGCGGCUUGCUUGUACUUCGUAAUAAUGCAUGUGUUUACAGUAAAUUUCGUAGUUGCAUUACUCGUUGGGAUCUGAAAAAUAGACGGAUGGAUACGGUGUUAGAAUAAAAUAGCACAAUGGAGAACUUUAACUUCACAAAUUGUUAAUCUAAUAUACUGAAACGUUCCCGUCAUACCUUCAAUACAAAAAUGUGUAAUUUUCUGUAUAAUUCUCAACGUGUUGACGCUUGUUGGUGUAUACGUAUGCUCGAAUUGAUAUUCAUAUUGCAAACAGAAACGGGAAUCGACUAGCUGUGUGGAGAACUGAAAACGUAAUAUGUAGUAAUAUUAUUACAAAAACUAUGAUAUCUUUAUUGGUAAUAAAAUAUAUGAAUGAUAAAUUGAUAAGAGAUCCAAACAUAAAUAUAAUAAAAAAUUAAAUGAAGGAAAAUGCAAUUAGCAAUAGCAAAGCUGAAAAUAUUUUAUGUUGUAAAUUAAAUAACAAUUAAUUAUAGUAAUUACUGACAUAUUAGAUUUAUUAGGAAUAAAAGGAAUAAAUAAUCGUAUAGAUGAGAA